UUUAACUGGAGGAAGGUGGGGAUGACGUCAAGUCCUCAUGGCCCUUAUGUCCUGGGCUACACACGUGCUACAAUGGCGGUGACAGUGGGAAGCCAGGUAGCGAUACCGAGCCGAUCUCUAAAAGCCGUCUCAGUUCGGAUUGCACUCUGCAACUCGAGUGCAUGAAGGUGGAAUCGCUAGUAAUCGCGGAUCAGCAUGCCGCGGUGAAUACGUUCCCGGGCCUUGUACACACCGCCCGUCACACCAUGGGAGUUGGUUUGACCUUAAGCCGGUGAGCGAACCGCAAGGACGCAGCCGACCACGGUCGGGUCAGCGACUGGGGUGAAGUCGAACAAGAGUCAUGCUC
rnacentral:rRNA from 1 species